GCUCAGAGCGAACGCUGGCGGCAGGCUUAACACAUGCAAGUCGAGCGGGCGUAGCAAUACGUCAGCGGCAGACGGGUGAGUAACGCGUGGGAACGUACCUUUUGGUUCGGAACAACCCAGGGAAACUUGGGCUAAUACCGGAUAAGCCCUUACGGGGAAAGAUUUAUCGCCGAAAGAUCGGCCCGCGUCUGAUUAGCUAGUUGGUGAGGUAAUGGCUCACCAAGGCGACGAUCAGUAGCUGGUCUGAGAGGAUGAUCAGCCACAUUGGGACUGAGACACGGCCCAAACUCCUACGGGAGGCAGUAGUGGGGAAUAUUGGACAAUGGGCGCAAGCCUGAUCCAGCCAUGCCGCGUGAGCGAUGAAGGCCCUAGGGUUGUAAAGCUCUUUUGUGCGGGAAGAUAAUGACGGUACCGCAAGAAUAAGCCCCGGCUAACUUCGUGCCAGCAGCCGCGGUAAUACGAAGGGGGC
rnacentral:rRNA from 1 species